CAAAUCUCAAGGUCUCCAUUCUCUUAGACUUCACGCGGGGCUCCCGAGGUAGGUGGCAUGCACGCCUGGCCCCUCAUGCUUCCUGUGUCAGAUCCUCAGUUCCAAGA
rnacentral:miRNA from 1 species